GGUAGGCAAACAAAGUUGAAAAAUGUGCCAAAUCAUAUUCUUAUUUAUACUGUAAAUAAAGACAGUACCACAAUUUUAGGCUAGUGUAGUUUUCUACCAGCACAGGCACUUGUGGACAGCAGUUGGAUGGAGCUAGAAAAAUGUAUUUCCACCUGCAUUGUAUGAACAGAUGUUUCCUGUUGACUGUCUUGAAACUCCACUAUUCAACUUCGUUGGAAGACCUCAGGCUCCAGGAUUAGCAAAGACAGAGAAAUGCUUUGUGUCUCGUUCUACUUUCUGAUCCUCAUAUCAGAGGCAAGUAAGAGAAUUUGGGAGGCUGGUCAUAGUGCUGAUGGAUACAACAUAGCCAUGCUGCUGGGGAUGAGGAAGCUUGGCAUUUGGAGGCACUGCAGAACAAAUUUACCAUUGUCUGUGGUAACUUCUCUUCUCCAGAAAGUAUUUGAGGAAGGAGGAGGGGCAGAGAAGAAAGUGGGAGCUAAAUAAAGCUUCACUCACAGAUCCAAGGACCAGCAAUUCUUACACUCAAAACCGAAUGAGGGUAUAUGACCAAGGAGAAAUGUGUGUACCUGUCUAUAAAAGGUCAAUAUUUCGGAAAGGAGAAGCAAAGAUGUGCAUACAUAUCUGUCUGUUAGAUCACAAGAUUUGGCUAUUCCUCAGGAAGUCUUGUGAGUCUGAAUAAUCAGGCCUUUAGUUUCAGGUAGCAAAGGCAAGUUCUGAUGUGUCCAGCCACAACCACACAGGGCUGCAGAUUCAAGUGUUCUCAGACCUCUCAUGUUUGCCCAGGUUCCAGGCCUAUUUGUGGGACUUAUUCAACUUUUCCCAAUUUAGUACAACAGCUAAAACUUCCAAGUCCUUGUUAGACCUUUCAAAAAUAUCAGUUGGUUAGGUGCUGACCCUGGUCCUUAUUUCCUGAUUGAUAAUGCCAAGGUUUCUUCUUUUAUUAAAAAAAAGCUACCUGAUAGCCCAUCAAUUCAUUCAACUCCAGCAUGUCUGUUCCAAGAACAGACCACUUGCAGCCUGAGAACUGCAUGCAGCUCCUUGCUCCUGCAGUCCCUGAGAUGAAAUUUGAAAAAUCAUUGGCACCAUUUUCCAUUAAAAAAAAAAACCACAAACACACAAAAUAGAUAUGCUAAAGCUUCACUAGAUUUAAGUCUUCUGUUUUUAUUUGAUAAAAUAGACCUCAAAAACUAGGCCAGAAAGUCCGCCGCUACAAUAUCCUCCAUCGACAUUAUAUCCCUGUUACGCAUCUUAUCAAAACAAAAGCAAAGCCCAUAUUUCCUGUUCUGAAUAAAGCCAAUCUUUUCCUAAAGAACAUGGAGGAAUCAGGAUGAAAGAAAAAUGGAAAUUAUAAAGUUUCUGAUCAAAGCCCAUCAAGACCUGUGCAAAGGUCUUGCAUUUAGAGAAAACAUCUAAUAGGAACAAACUGUGACACGAUAUGAUGCACUAAUUAAAAGAAACCUCAUUAUCUGGACAUGAAUAGAUGUAGUUAGGGUAAGCAGGGACCUUUGUCCUCUACUCCGAUACGAAGAUCUCACUCCCUGCACUUCUACUGCUCUCCACCACCAUUCCUAUUCUGCUUGGCUGAACUCACAUUCAAAAUGCAGGUCUGCCGCCAUCACAUUUAGUUCUGCCCUCAAGAAAAGGACAACAGCCUGAAGGAAGAUCGAUCUGACUGAGACUGGCAGUCCUUUUUGUUCUUCAGUGAGCCGGCACAGCACCUUCUCUUGGGACAGCGACUGGUGCUAGAAGAUUGCAGAAAACUAAAUAGCUUAUAUAGGAACAUCAUUAAUCUAACUAAAGUGAUCUGCUAUUCUGUAAUAAAAUAUACUCAGAAAUGACAUGACUAAUUGAAUGGGAGCAGGAAUAAAUCAAAUAAAAGCUGGUUGGAGGAAGAAAGAACCCAAAAGGCCAUUGUCUCAGAUGGGAAGAGCCCUGGGAAAGAAAAAGGAUGAAGGAUCUCAGGACAGCUGGGGAAACAGCACUCUCUCCGGGAUCCCCAUAUUGCUGUUCCUCGGUGGAGGGAAGGAGCUAGAAGGGGGAAAGAAUGUGGGACUCCCAGAAGGGAUUCCAAAGGAUCUUGGCAAUUUUAAAUCCCCGUGCCCCUUAACAUUGCCUGCCAAUUCCUAUGUACCAGAUGCUAUUCAGAACCUACAGUAGACAGCAGACCAGGCUUCAGUUGGCAACAUUCAUUUCAUGGGAGACUGAAAAAUGCUAAGACCAUAAUAUUAAUAGUAACCUUUAGCAUUUUUUGUGGGCUUGACAGAUCAGUCUGAUUAGGGCUCCCUCUUGGAUGGAAGAUAGACUUACCAUCGCCAAAUGUCAUUAGCUGGUGGUACUCUA